rnacentral:rRNA from 1 species
CCUACGGGGAGCUGCAGUAGGGAAUAUUGCUCAAUGGGGGAAACCCUGAAGCAGCAACGCCGCGUGGAGGAUGAAGGUUUUCGGAUUGUAAACUCCUUUUGUUAGAGAAGAUAAUGACGGUAUCUAACGAAUAAGCACCGGCUAACUCCGUGCCAGCAGCCGCGGUAAUACGGAGGGUGCAAGCGUUACUCGGAAUCACUGGGCGGAAAGAGCGCGUAGGCGGGAUAGCAAGUCAGAUGUGAAAUCCUAUGGCUUAACCAUAGAACUGCAUUUGAAACUGUUAUUCUAGAGUAUGGGAGAGGUAGGUGGAAUUCUUGGUGUAGGGGUAAAAUCCGUAGAGAUCAAGAGGAAUACUCAUUGCGAAGGCGACCUGCUAGAACAUAACUGACGCUGAUGCGCGAAAGCGUGGGGAGCAAACAGGAUUAGAUACCCUAGUAGUC